ACUUAGUAGAACAUGGAACAUACACAGAGGAAAGAUCAUGUGACAUUACAGCAAGAAGACAGUUAGCUGCUAGCAAGGAAGAGGACACUCACUAGAAACCAAGUCACCAGCAUCUUUACCAUGAGCCUUUACCUACAGAACUGUGACAAAAAUCCAUGUUGGAUGUUUCCAUUAUUCCUUAUGUAACAUUUUGGUACAUCAACCAGAAAUGACUAAUACAGCUACAAAGGAAAAAAAAACAAACAUGGAAGGCAAGAACAAUUCAAGACUGGUAUUCCAAUACAUGUGAGCAAUAUAUCAAAGCUGGUCCAAAUUUGGUAGCCAAGACUGGUGGUGAGAAUUAUAACCUGCUCCUGCGCCAAAAAAAAAAAAAUCAUCAGCCAUUUAGUUAUAAAGGUUGUUGGACAAAAUCAAUUGUUGAAACUCCUGGAAACCUAUUUGGGGAUUCUGGAGAGUUUUCUGACAAGUCACCAGCUGCGUUGUGUAUAGAAACUACAACUAAACUCUAAAAACCACAAAGAAUUCUAGAAAGGUCUCCCUCUCUUUCCAGCAUCCUCCAUUGACAUCUUGAUAGCAUCCAGGGUGAAUAAGAAAGUCAGGUGUUGGUCAUCAAGCCAUCCCAGUGUCUAAUUUUCCUGGGUGGCUGUUUUGAUGGAUAACUUCAGUUGAUACCAACUAUGUAGAUACCCUCAGACCUACUCAUCUCUUUGAAAAGAUCAGUAAUGUAGGACAUAUAUUCUUUUCAUUUACAAUGACAACCGUAGAAAUGAAAUUCCUUAUGUAACAUUUUGGUACAUCAGCCAGAAAUGACUGGAAAAUAUAUAAGGGGGGAGAAAAAUUUUCAUUUCUUCAGAAUAAGAGUCUUAACUUUGCUACCAUUCCUGAGACGUAACUAUACUAAAUGAUAAACACAUACUGUUAACUAGUCAUUCUCCAUAGUUUGUAAUUAAAGUGCUAAGGGUGUAGCAGAAUUCAAUGGAUGGAAAAGACUUAAUCUAGCAUACUAAAUUUCUCAGAUCCUAAAUUUGUCAAACACUCAAUUUCUCUCCUGGUGAAGGGGUCACUUGGAAAAAGCAUUGUUUUUCAAGGGUCUGGGUACUCACUCAUGGACAUUUUGUCGUUUUGUUUGACAGUAAACAUUUGUUACAUUUUGCAGUUAAAAUAUGUGAUGGGGUUUGAAUACAUAGAUUUCCAAAAUGCCUGUAUUUUGUUUGCACUGAAGACUCAGGACGAAACAAUACCUGUGGUUUAAAUUCUC